UACGUAGGGACCAAGCGUUGUUCGGAUUUACUGGGCGUAAAGGGCGCGUAGGCGGCCACCGCAAGUCGACUGUGAAAUCUCCGGGCUUAACUCGGAAAGGUCAGCCGAUACUGCGGGGCUAGAGUGCAGAAGGGGCAAUCGGAAUUCUUGGUGUAGCGGUGAAAUGCGUAGAUAUCAAGAGGAACACCUGAGGUGAAGACGGGUUGCUGGGCUGACACUGACGCUGAGGCGCGAAAGCUAGGGUAGCAAACGGG
rnacentral:rRNA from 1 species